GGUACUCGAGUGGCGAACGGGUGAGUAACACGUGGGUGAUCUGCCUUGCACUUCGGGAUAAGCCUGGGAAACUGGGUCUAAUACCGGAUAGGACCAUGCUUUAGUGUGUGUGGUGGAAAGUUUUUUCGGUGCAAGAUGAGCCCGCGGCCUAUCAGCUUGUUGGUGGGGUAAUGGCCUACCAAGGCGACGACGGGUAGCCGGCCUGAGAGGGUGUACGGCCACAUUGGGACUGAGACACGGCCCAGACUCCUACGGGAGGCAGCAGUGGGGAAUAUUGCACAAUGGGCGCAAGCCUGAUGCAGCGACGCCGCGUGGGGGAUGACGGCCUUCGGGUUGUAAACUCCUUUCGCUAGGGAAGAAGCCACUUGUGGUGACGGUACCUGGAUAAGAAGCACCGGCUAACUACGUGCCAGCAGCCGCGGUAAUACGUAGGGUGCGAGCGUUGUCCGGAAUUACUGGGCGUAAAGAGCUCGUAGGUGGUUUGUCGCGUCGUCUGUGAAAUCCCGGGGCUUAACUUCGGGCGUGCAGGCGAUACGGGCAUAACUAGAGUGCUGUAGGGGAGACUGGAAUUCCUGGUGUAGCGGUGAAAUGCGCAGAUAUCAGGAGGAACACCGAUGGCGAAGGCAGGUCUCUGGGCAGUUACUGACGCUGAGGAGCGAAAGCAUGGGUAGCGAACAGGAUUAGAUACCCUGGUAGUCCAUGCCGUAAACGGUGGGCGCUAGGUGUGGGGGUUUUAUUUACGAUUCCCGUGCCGUAGCUAACGCAUUAAGCGCCCCGCCUGGGGAGUACGCCGCAAGGCUA
rnacentral:rRNA from 1 species